rnacentral:snoRNA from 1 species
ACUCCUCAGACUCCUUACCGGUCAGAUCUGAACAUUGGUCUGAGCAGCUACAAAAGGAGGAAAAGAGAAAGGCAAACAGACUUGGAUUAUUUGGUGAUACAGGACUUGCUCUGGAACAAACCCAC